AUAAAAGAAAGUAAAUAAGGGCGCAUGGCGGAUGCCUUGGCUCUCGGAGGCGAUGAAGGACGUGAUAAGCUGCGAUAAGCUUCGGGUAGGUGCAAAUGACCUUUGAUCCGAAGAUUUCCGAAUGGGACAACCCGGCAUUCUGAAGGAAUGUCAUCCAACUUGGUUGGAGGCUAACGCAGGGAACUGAAACAUCUUAGUACCUGCAGGAAAAGAAAAUAAAUAAUGAUUCCCCUAGUAGUGGCGAGCGAACGGGGAUUAGCCCAAACCACCCAUGUUACGGCAUGUGUGGGGUUGUAGGACCACGCUCUCGCAAGACAGUUAUUGAGAAGAAACGNNCAGCCGGGACCAUCCGGUAAGGCUAAAUACUCCCGAGAGACCGAUAGCGAACCAGUACUGUGAAGGAAAGGUGAAAAGCACUUCGAAUAGAAGAGUGAAAUAGUCCCUGAAACCAUGCGCCUACAAGCGGUCGGAGCAGCUUAAGCUGUGACGGCGUGCCUUUUGCAUAAUGAACCUACGAGUUACUUUUUCCGGCAAGGUUAAGCAUCUUGAGAUGUGGAUCCGAAGCGAAAGCGAGUCUGAACAGGGCGGAUAGUCGGAAGGAGUAGACGCGAAACCAAGUGAUCUACCCUUGGGCAGGUUGAAGGUUAGGUAACACUAACUGGAGGACCGAACCGAUAAGCGUUGAAAAGCUUCCGGAUGACCUGAGGGUGGGGGUGAAAGGCUAAUCAAACUUGGAGAUAGCUCGUACUCCCCGAAAUGCAUUUAGGUGCAGCCUUGAGAGUUACUAAUGUGAGGUAGAGCGACUGAUAAGAUGCGAGGGCUUCACCGCCUAUCAAGUCUUGAUAAACUCCGAAUGCGCAUUAGUUCUAUCUCAGGAGUGAGGGCAUGGGUGCUAAGGUCCAUGUCCUAAAGGAGAAGAAUCCAGACCAUCAGCUAAGGUCCCCAAAUAAACACUAAGUUGAACUAACGAAGUCAGAUUGCUAAGACAGCUAGGAUGUUGGCUUGGAAGCAGCCAUUCAUUUAAAGAGUGCGUAACAGCUCACUAGUCGAGGAGUUUGGCGUGGAUAAUAAUCGGGCAUAAGUGUUUUACCGAAGCUAUGGGAUACGUAAGUAUCGGUAGGGGAGCAUUCCACUCAGCGUUGAAGGCGAAGCGUGAGCUUUACUGGAGCGUGUGGAAAAGCAAAUGUAGGUAUAAGUAACGAUAAAGGGGGUGAGAAACCCCCUCGCCGCAAGACUAAGGUUUCCUGAUCAACGCUAAUCGGAUCAGGGUUAGUCGGGUCCUAAGGCUCAGCCGAACGGUGAGGCCGAUGGCAGAACAGGUUAAUAUUCCUGUACUACCUAUAAGAGUGAUGUGGAGACGGAGGAGUGACAACGCCGCGGACUGACGGAAUAGUCCGUUAAAGGGUGUAGAUGUUGAUUAUCCCAGGCAAAUCCGGGAUAAGAGUCGAACCUGACAGUAUACCAAUUUCCCCGGAAAACGGUAAUAGUGCGUGUAAACAUACUCCCAAGAAAAUCCGCUAAACUUAAUCUUAUAGGUACCCGUACCGUAAACGGACACACGUAGUCGGGUUGAAUAUACUCAGGCGCUUGAGUGAAUCACGGUUAAGGAACUAGGCAAAUUGACCCUGUAACUUCGGGAUAAAGGGUCCCUACCCGGUGACGGGAGGGCGCAGAGAAUAGGUCCAGGCAACUGUUUAACAAAAACACAGGGCUGUGCAAAAUUGAAAGAUCACGUAUACAGCCUGACACCUGCCCGGUGCUGGAAGGUUAAGAGGAGAUGUCAUCGCAAGAGAAGCAUUGAAUUGAAGCCCCAGUAAACGGCGGCCGUAACUAUAACGGUCCUAAGGUAGCGAAAUUCCUUGUCGGGUAAGUUCCGACCUGCACGAAUGGUGUAAUGAUCUGGACACUGUCUCAACCGUGAGCUCAGUGAAAUUGUAGUAUCGGUGAAGAUGCCGAUUACCCGCGAUGGGACGAAAAGACCCCGUGAACCUUUACUAUAGCUUAACAUUGAAUUUGGGUAAUUGAUGUGUAGGAUAGGCCGGAGACUUUGAAGCAGGCACGCCAGUGUUUGUGGAGUCGCUGUUGAAAUACGGCCCUUUGGUUAUUUGAGUUCUAACUCGCUGAUGCGAGGACACUGUUUGGUGGGUAGUUUGACUGGGGUGGUCGCCUCCAAAAGCGUAACGGAGGCUUCUAAAGGUGCCCUCACGCCGAUUGGUAACCGGCGGUAGAGUGUAAUGGCAUAAGGGCGCUUGACUGGGAGACUUACAAGUCGAUCAGGUAGGAAACUAGAGCAUAGUGAUCCGGUGUUUCCGUAUGGAAGGGACAUCGCUCAAAGGAUAAAAGGUACUCCGGGGAUAACAGGCUGAUCCCUCCCAAGAGCUCAUAUCGACGGAGGGGUUUGGCACCUCGAUGUCGGCUCGUCACAUCCUGGGGCUGGAGAAGGUCCCAAGGGUUGGGCUGUUCGCCCAUUAAAGUGGCACGCGAGCUGGGUUCAGAACGUCGUGAGACAGUUCGGUCUCUAUCUAUCGUGGGCGUAUGAAAUUUGCGUGGCUCUGACACUAGUACGAGAGGACCGUGUUGGACUGACCUCUGGUUUACCGGUUGUGCCGCCAGGUGCAUUGCCGGGUAUCUAAGUCGGGAUUGGAUAAGUGCUGAAAGCAUCUAAGUACGAAGCCAGCCACAAGAUUAGAUUUCUUUCAGGGUCGUUGUAGACUACAACGUUGAUAGGACGCAGGUGUACAGGUGGUAACAUCACAGCCGAGCGUUACUAAUUGCCCGAUGACUUUCUUUUAUC
rnacentral:rRNA from 1 species